UUUGAAAGUAAAUUUAAAUUCUUAAUUAUUAUUAGUUAAAUUCUUUAAAGUUAAAAAUUUUGGCGGUAUUUUAGUCUUUUCAGAGGAACCUGUUCUAUAAUUGAUAAUCCACGAUUAAUUCUACUUUUUUUAUUAGUUUGUAUAUCAUCGUAGUUUGAAUAUUUUAAAAGAAUUAUAAUAUUCAAAAUUUUAAAUAAAAAAGUAAAUCAGAUCAAGGUGCAGUUUAUAAAAAAGAAGUAAUGGGUUACAAUAAUGUAAAUUAAAUGGUAUAAAAAUUGAAAUAUUUUUGUUAAAGUGGAUUUGAAAGUAAUAUAAUUUAUAUAAAUUAUAUGAUUUAAGCUCUAAAAUAUGU
rnacentral:rRNA from 1 species